rnacentral:rRNA from 1 species
AGCGAACGCUGGCGGCAAGCUUAACACAUGCAAGUCGAACGGUAAGGCCCUUCGGGGUACACGAGUGGCGAACGGGUGAGUAACACGUGGGUGAUCUGCCCUGCACUUCGGGAUAAGCCUGGGAAACUGGGUCUAAUACCGGAUAGGACCACUGCCUGCAUGGGUGGUGGUGGAAAGCUUUUGCGGUGUGGGAUGGGCCCGCGGCCUAUCAGCUUGUUGGUGGGGUGAUGGCCUACCAAGGCGACGACGGGUAGCCGGCCUGAGAGGGUGACCGGCCACACUGGGACUGAGAUACUGCCCAGACUCCUACGGGAGGCAGCAGUGGGGAAUAUUGCACAAUGGGCGCAAGCCUGAUGCAGCGACGCCGCGUGAGGGAUGACGGCCUUCGGGUUGUAAACCUCUUUCAGCACCGACGAAGCGCAAGUGACGGUAGGUGCAGAAGAAGGACCGGCCAACUACGUGCCAGCCGCCGCAGUAA